rnacentral:rRNA from 1 species
GACGAACGCUGGCGGCGUGCCUAAUACAUGCAAGUAGAACGCUGAAGGAGGAGCUUGCUUCUCUGGAUGAGUUGCGAACGGGUGAGUAACGCGUAGGUAACCUGCCUGGUAGCGGGGGAUAACUAUUGGAAACGAUAGCUAAUACCGCAUAAGAGUAGAUGUUGCAUGACAUUUGCUUAAAAGGUGCAAUUGCAUCACUACCAGAUGGACCUGCGUUGUUUUAGCUAGUUGGUGGGGUAACGGCUCAUCAAGGCGACGAUACAUAGCCGACCUGAGAGGGGGUCGGGCCGCCCUGGGACUGUGACACGGCCCAGUCUCCUCCGGGUGGCAGCAGUAGGGGAUCUUAGGCAAUCGACGGAAGUCUGACCGAGCAACGCCGCGUGAGUGACGAAGCGUUUCGGAUCGUAAUGCUCUGUUGUAAGGGAAGAACGAGUGUGAGAGUGGAAAGUUCACACUGUGACGGUAUCUUACCAGAAAGGGACGGCUAACUACGUG